UACGUGGGGUGCAAGCGUUGUUCGGAAUUACUGGGCGUAAAGCGUGUGUAGGCGGCCCGUUAAGUCUGAUGUGAAAGCCCUGGGCUUAACCCAGGAAUUGCAUCGGAAACUAACGGGCUGGAGUCCGGGAGAGGGUAGUGGAAUUCCUGGUGUAGAGGUGAAAUUCGUAGAUAUCAGGAGGAACACCGGUGGCGAAGGCGGCUACCUGGACCGGUACUGACACUGAGACACGAAAGCGUGGGGAGCAAACAGG
rnacentral:rRNA from 1 species